GCAAGUCGAGCGGUAAGCUAACUUCGGUUAGCCUAGAGCGGCGGACGGGUUAGUAACGCGUGGGAACAUACCCUUCUCUACGGAAUAGCCUCGGGAAACUGAGAGUAAUACCGUAUACGCCCUUCGGGGGAAAGAUUUAUCGGAGAUGGAUUGGCCCGCGUUAGAUUAGAUAGUUGGUGGGGUAAUGGCCUACCAAGUCACCGAUCUAUAGCUGGUUUGAGAGGAUGAUC
rnacentral:rRNA from 1 species